rnacentral:lncRNA from 1 species
UGACAUUCCAGCUCAAGGCAUGUGUUACAUUUUUUUUUCUUUUUUUUUUUUGGUAUAUCCUGCAAUAGAGCAAUUAAAAAAAAAAAAAAAUCUUCCCUUGCGACCCUGCAAGGAGACGCUUGAGGAGUUCCGUGCGCCCGGGCGGACCAUGGCUGAGCUUAAAGUUACUCCAGGCAUCCGUGCACAGCAGGAGAGUUCGACUGUAGCCGGGGAAGGGGCAGGGGCAGGGUCUAACUGUUCACAGUCACGGCUGGAGAUUAUUCGCAGUCAACCGCCCCGAAGGAACUGUGGUCUGGAACUACUUUGGAGAUUUGAAAAAUGAAAAGAAAUGGGAACCCAAGUUACCCAGCCCGCCUCCCCCAUCUCUUUCUGAGUGUACCCACUUAGCAUAGGCAGAAAGGACAACAAUCAAAUGAAAAACAUUUCCAGGGGUGAACCCCAAAGGUCAGUCUCUGGCUUCGCCGGACAAUGGGGGUUGGGCCUCCUCUUCUCCUCCAAAGGGAUGAAGGAGUCUUAAUGAAGAGGCAUUUUCUCCGGCGAAGAUUCUAAACCCCAGCGGGUUCCACAAACUCCGGGGAAGCGAAGCUUCUGGCGCUGGGCGGAGGGAGGGGUGUCGCUCUGCGAAUCGCUGCUCUGGGACCCGGCCCCAGAGCCGCACCCGCGCCCCUCCGCUCCCCGCGCGCGACCCCGCUCGGCCGCACGCUCCCGCGCCCGCGCCCGCGCCCCCGCCCCCGCCGCGCGCACAGCCCGGCCGGCGCGCGCACCCGGCUCACAGGCGCCGCCGCGCUCCGAGCGCUCAGACCGCGGCCGCCGCCGGCCCGCGAGACCGAGUCCUGCACGCCCGACAUGCGCCUCGGCUAGCGACUCCCCGGUCCGCGAGCACCGCGCGUCCUCCCCUCGGUUAUUUCUCUCCUUCUCUCUCUUACACACGCACAGACACACGCGCGCGCGCUCACACGCACAACCUCGCGCCAGUCCAUCCUCUGGAGGAGAAAACAUUUCCUUGGCGCCCCCUCCCUCUCCAUUCAGACCCGCCGAGGAGCCGCGCGGCGGGAACCCCCAGAUCGUCUGGAAAUGCUAAUCCUAAAGCGCUUCCUCGCCUGUAUUCAGCUCCUCUGUGUUUGCCGCCUGGUAUGUAUGAGCACUUAUUCUGUGCCUGGUACUAGAGAGUAUAUAAGGAUUCAGCACUUUCUGCUCUUAAAAUGAACCUGGACAGAAGAGAGACAAAUGAGCCUCUAUUCAUUGAAGGAGAGUGACAGCCACCAUACAUAGAAGAAGGUAUGGAUGCACAGAUGCUUAGUGUAUUUAGUAGAGGGGUCAUGGGAAGGGGCA